rnacentral:rRNA from 1 species
GUCGAGAAUUUUGGGCAAUGGACGAAAGUCUGACCCAGCAAUGCCGCGUGCGGGAUGAAGGUCUUCGGAUUGUAAACCGCUGUCGAGGGGGACGAAAUAUGACGGUACCCCUGGAGGAAGCCACGGCUAACUACGUGCCAGCAGCCGCGGUAAUACGUAGGUGGCGAGCGUUGUUCGGAUUUAUUGGGCGUAAAGGGUCCGCAGGGGGUUGAUUAAGUCUGACGUGAAGUCUCUGAGCUCAACUCAGAAAUUGCGUUGGAGACUGGUUGACUAGAGUGUUGGAGAGGUAAUUGGAAUUCCAGGUGUAGCGGUGGAAUGCGUAGAUAUCUGGAAGAACAUCGAAAGCGAAGGCAGAUUACUGGACAACAACUGACCCUCAGGGACGAAAGCAUGGGGAGCAAACAGGAUUAGAUACCCGAGUAGUCC